rfam:Paenibacillus sp. 11 genome assembly, contig: Ga0139009_101
AGACCCCUUGAAGACGACGAGGUAGAUAGGUUGGGGGUGGAAGCACAGCAAUGUGUGGAGCUGACCAAUACUAAUCGGUCGAGGGCUUAUCCUA